rnacentral:rRNA from 1 species
CGAAACCGAUAGCGAACAAGUACCGUGAGGGAAAGUUGAAAAGUACUCUGAAUAGAGAGUUAAAUAGUACGUGAAACCGCUUAGGGGUUAAGCCCGAUGAACCCGAAUAUCUGAUGUGAGAAAUUCAAUACAAUUCAAAUUCAUAUUUUUAUAUUGGAUUUGUAUAUUGUAUGCACUUUUCUCAUAGUAAGACAUUGUAAUCCAUUGAUAUUAUAUCUCUUAUAUGAGAUGAUUUAACAUACGGACAAAAUGUUUAUGAUUAUUCUAUCAGUGAUAUGUUUACAUGUCAUAUGAAUAAAAUCGUUUUGUUUCCUGUUUAAAUAGUCGAUGGAUUUUUCAUUGAAAUCAUGCUUGCAAUUUAUUUUGCGUUUCGUAUCAUUAAUUUUUAAUUUUUGAUAGCAGAAAUGGCAUGUAUUUGAUUAACAAUGCGAUAGAUUUGGGAUACUUUCAGGACCCGUCUUGA